rnacentral:rRNA from 1 species
AUACGUAGGGGGCGAGCGUUGUCCGGAAUGAUUGGGCGUAAAGGGCGCGUAGGCGGCGCGGUAAGUCUGGAGUGAAAGUCCUGCUUUCGAGGUGGGAAUUGCUUUGGAUACUGCCGCGCUUGAGUGCAGGAGAGGUUAUCGGAAUUCCCGGCGUAGCGGUGAAAUGCGUAGAGAUCGGGAGGAACACCAGUGGCGAAGGCGGGUAACUGGACUGCAACUGACGCUGAGGCGCGAAAGUGUGGGGAGCAAACAGGAUUAGAUACCCUGGUAGUCCACACUGUAAACGAUGAAUGCUAGGUGUAAGAGGUAUCGACCCCUUUUGUGCCGGAGUCAACACAAUAAGCAUUCCGCCUGGGGAGUACGGCCGCAAGGUUGAAACUCAAAGGAAUUGACGGGG